CACUCCUAAAGCCACCAUCAUCUUUGUGGAGGAUUUAAAACCAGGCAGAAGAUGUUACAUGGCUUUCUGAAUAAAUCAAACUGCACGGACGUGGAUCGUUAACACAUUAACCCUGAGAUGCAGAGUAGACAAAGUUUUACAACCGUCCUCUCUGAGACCACCAAACCAGGGAAGAAAAUCAAAUCCAGCAAGAAUGCAGAGACGAGAAAAGAGGAACUUUGUGAAUAUGUGCCCGGUAUCCCAGAGCCAACAAGCAG